rnacentral:rRNA from 1 species
GUAUGAACGGCAAAACCUCUUCCAACUGUCUCCCCUCCCAUCCUUUUAAAUUUCUUCCUGUGUGAAGAAGCACAGAUAUAUCAGAAAGACGAGAAGACCCUGUCGAGCUUUAACCACUAAGUGGGCUUUACCCUUUUCAGGCACCACCUAAAGGUUUUGGUUGGGGCAACCAUGGAGAAAAAAGAUCCUCCAGAACAAAUAGAAGAAAGCUUUUCACUAUUUUACGACUGAGAACCAGGAACUGGUAUUCGGAAAAAGUUACCGCAGGGAUAACAGCGUCAUCUCCUCUAAGAGUCCUUAUUGACGAGGAGGUUUGCGACCUCGAUGUUGGAUUGGGGCCCCCUUAGGGUGCAGAAGCUCUAAACGGUUAGACUGUUCGUCUAUUAAAGCCCUACAUGAUCUGA